ACCAAGGAAAAAGCAGAAUAACUGAUAAAUAGGAGAAAAACCAGGACACUGACCAUCAGCCGGGCUGCCACCACAACACUUUUCUAUUUUAUUUCAGGAAUACUUUAUGCACUCUGACUUAAGGCAUACUGGAAUAAGAUAAAGGGUGAAACGUUGGAGAAAAUGUCACAUUUCAGCCUGAUAGCCUGAUAAAGCAGAGGCAGCAGCCCAUUGGUUCAUUUUCUAAAAUGACCCUAGGCUGGCCCAAUCUCACUGGUGUCAGAUGUCGUGGCUCAGAGCCAAACAUCUGUGGAUGAAGAAGGAUGUCUUUGUCAAUUACCAAGAUAUACAAGCAAAAAUGAAAGAAGUGGGGUGCUGAAAAUGGAUAGAUAUGUUUGCUGCAGCAGUAGCUUCAACAUCUACGGCGACAACUCGUCAUUGUGCAGUAACAUGUGGAAGGAUGAGAGGUGGCUGGCCAUGGUCGCUGCCAGGCAGAGGAGCAAGAAGAGGAGCAGAUAUGUGACAGGAAGGAACAGAGUGAGCAGGAGGAGAGUGUAGCUGAAUCGGUGGUGGUGAUCAAAGGAUGAAGAAAAAUGCUGAGGAUCUGGAUGUGAUGAGGAGGACUUCUGCUGUGCUUGAACUGGACCUAGACCUGAUGCGGUGGAGAAUGCCCACAGUGAGGCCACAAAUUUGACAGUGACUACAUGAUAGUCAAAAUGCAGCCUCCCUGAGCCGCUGUAGACUCUUGUAAUGUACAGAUUGCUUUUGUUCAUCUCACUUAAUAGCGACUGCACGCAUAUCUUCAUGAACGGACAAAAGGGUGUCUUGUUAUUUCCCCCACACAAUUUAGGCCUAAUAAUAUCCCUUAAUUAUUCCCAGAGAACCUUAAAUUCACAGAUUUAUUGCAAUAAAAUGUAUUUAUGUAUUACACUAAUAAAUAUUUUCAAUGUAUCAAAUGACAA